ACUGGCGGCCUGCGCAAUAAUAUAUCAUCAAGUUCUCAUGCUCAUUACUUAGCCGAUGAGAUAUGAUCCCAACACCGAGUGAAGAAUGAUGAAGUUGAUGACCCGCUAUUCUCUCUGUGUUUCUCUCUUGAUCUUCAUCCCCACACUCACACACUCUGCGAAUUCAAGCGCCAACUAUUUGACCACUCAACAACUCUGGUUCUCUCAAACCCUCGAUCAUUACUCUCCCUAUUCGCAGGAUCGGAGCCAAUUCCAGCAAAGAUACUACGAGUUCCUUGACUUUUUCCGUAGUCCAGAUGGACCUAUUUUUAUGGUAAUUUGUGGUGAAUAUACAUGCAAGGGGAUCAAAAACGACUAUAUUGCUGUUUUGGCAAAGAAGUUUGGAGCAGCUGUGGUUUCCCUUGAGCAUCGCUAUUAUGGAAAGAGUUCUCCGUUUAAACAGCUCACAACACAAAAUUUGAGAUAUCUUUCAUCCAAGCAAGCACUCUUUGAUUUGGCUGUUUUUCGCCAGAGUUAUCAGGAAUCUUUAAAUGCAAAGCUUAAUAGAACAAAAGAAGAAAAUCCAUGGUUUGUUUUUGGUGUCUCAUAUCCUGGAGCACUGAGUGCAUGGUUUCGUCUUAAGUUUCCACAUUUAACAUGUGGAAGUCUUGCAAGCUCUGCAGUUGUUCUUGCUGUUUAUAACUUCACAGAGUUUGAUCAGCAGGUUGGUGAGUCGGCAGGUCCUGAAUGUAAAGCAGCAUUACAAGAAACCACUAAACUCGUCGAUCAAAAACUAGUAACUAAUGGAAAGGCAUUAAAGGCAUCUUUCGAUGCAACUGAUCUCAGAAUUGAUGGUGAUUUCCUGUACUUUUUGGCAGAUGCUGCUGCUACAGCGUUUCAAUAUGGAAAUCCAGAUAAAUUAUGCAAGCCUCUUGUUGAGGCAAAAAAGGCUGGGGAUGAUUUGGUGGAUGCUUAUGCCAAAUAUGUAAAAGAGUAUUACCUUGGAGACUUUGGUGCUAGCGUACAAUCUUACAACCAGAAUUACUUGAAAAACACUGCUGCUAGUGAAGACAGUUCUGAUAGACUGUGGUGGUUUCAAGUUUGCACCGAAGUAGCAUACUUUCAAGUGGCUCCCUCUAAUGAUAGUGUGCGCUCCUCAAAAGUUGAUACAAGGUACCAUUUGGACCUCUGCAAAAAUGUAUUUGGAGAAGGCAUCUUUCCUGAUGUUAAUUCAACUAAUAUAUACUAUGGAGGCACCAAAAUUGCUGGUUCAAAGAUAGUUUUUACAAAUGGUUCCCAGGAUCCUUGGCGCCGUGCAUCAAAACAAGCGUCAUCCCCUGACAUGCCUUCCUAUACAAUCACGUGUUCUAAUUGCGGCCAUGGAACUGACAUGCGUGGAUGUCCUCAAUCUCCGUUUAACAUUGAAGGUAAUGAGAAGAACUGCACCUCCCCUGAUGCAGUCCACAAAGUCCGGCAAAAGAUUGUGGAGCACAUAGACCUGUGGCUUUCUGAGUGCCAGGACACGAGCAGGAGCUGUAUAUAAUUAUUCUUAGCAUGCAAUAAGAUAAUGUGAGGAAUUUAGUAUCAGCUCACUACAACGUGUUUUGACAACCUUCAUGACCAUGAGAGCUAACUUCCAUAAAACACCAUGAUUUUUAAGUGACUACAUAGACAUAGAGAAUCAGUUAGGCUUGAGGAGGAUUCCCUCAAACAAGACAUUGUUAGCAUACCUUUGCAACUUCAAAAGUCCUGUCAAUGCCGUAAUUACAUUCUUGUCAGCAUUCAGCAGUAAGAAUGGUGCAAAGCAAAAUCGAGUUUGUGAAGAGUCCAAGUUAGUGAGUUACAUACCAUUUUUCGAAAAAAAAAGCUCCUUGCAGUGUUGCCACUUGCCACCAUGACUCACCAUUUGAGCCGGGCAACGAACCAGACCCUGCCGUGCUUACUAUUAGAACUCUGAUGUAUAUGCAGUUUUCAUUCUAUUUUUUCUUGCCAAUACCGAACUCAUCCUGUAACAUUUGGCUCAGUUAAAACUUAAAAGCACAAUCACACGUGAUAUUUCUCACUGUAAUUUUACUAGAAAUUCUUUGGCAAACUUCUCAGCCUGUUAAGAAUCUGUGGCCAAUCUGUUAAAUACCUUGAAUGAAUGGAACAAAAGAUUUAAGAAUUUGAUGUCA